UUAAAUUGAAGAGUUUGAUCAUGGCUCAGAUUGAACGCUGGCGGCAGGCCUAACACAUGCAAGUCGAACGGUAACAGGAAGCAGCUUGCUGCUUUGCUGACGAGUGGCGGACGGGUGAGUAAUGUCUGGGAAACUGCCUGAUGGAGGGGGAUAACUACUGGAAACGGUGGCUAAUACCGCAUAACGUCGCAAGACCAAAGAGGGGGACCUUCGGGCCUCUUGCCAUCAGAUGUGCCCAGAUGGGAUUAGCUUGUUGGUGAGGUAACGGCUCACCAAGGCGACGAUCCCUAGCUGGUCUGAGAGGAUGACCAGCCACACUGGAACUGAGACACGGUCCAGACUCCUACGGGAGGCAGCAGUGGGGAAUAUUGCACAA
rnacentral:rRNA from 1 species